AAAGUCGUAACAAGGUUUCCGUAGGUGAACCUGCGGAAGGAUCAUUAGAAAAUUUAUUUAGUGCGCGUGCGUCGAGCAUGUCAAUCUAAUAAAUACCCCUCUGCGUACUUUCCACCCGGUUGCUUCCGCGAGGAGGGAAACGCCCCGCACUCCUCCUGUUUUGUGAGGGGAGGUGUGCGGGUGCGGUUUCUCGCCGCCGUUUCGUUCCUCGCGAAAGGCACACUUCCAAACCAAUUUUAUUCGCGACCCCAUCGUGGGACGUUACGAGUCUGAUUGCGACGCGCAGCACUGCGCAAAGCAAAAGAAAAGCAAAUGCUAAACAAACAAGUUAAAACUUUCAACAACGGAUCUCUUGGUUCUC
rnacentral:misc_RNA from 1 species